GCCACUGCGCCUGGCCCACCUUUAUGUUUUCCAGACUCUCUGGCCUCUGUCUGGAACCUUCCUGACCUUGUGAGUCUCCCCAAGAGGCAGACUCUAGGCACCAGGCCUCACUUUCCCAGCCUCCCUUGCAGUUGCUGCAGGCUUGUGACCUGGCUCAGCCAAUCAGACACACACAUUCAGCAACCCUGACUCAGGCAGAAGACACAAAGAAGCAGAGAUGGAGUGCAUCUGCCCCAAGUGGAGGCAGCAGCAGCAGCAGGAGGGAGGUGUCGGGGCAGUGGGGCCGCAGGGCCAGUCCUCAGGUUCAGCUUGGUUGUGACCUCUGCUAGAAGCCCUCCCUGGCCUCCCUGUGCACUGAGCUGGUGGUUCCUCCUUUGCGCCCCAGGUACAUGCUCAGAUCUGUGUACCCUACACUUUGUCCUCCAGCUUCGUGUUUGGAUGUUCACAACUCCCAUGAGAAGGGCCCCCGAGAGCUGGCACAGUGCAUGUGUUUCCUCUCCAGACUUCUACAAACCUGGCACAUAAUUGUUUGCUGAAAGAUGGCAUGUUCCUAAAACAGAGGAAGUAGAACCGAAUAAAGCGAAAUCCAACUUCCCACUCCCUGCUCUCACUUCCUCUGGGACAGGCCUUGAGCAAGAGAGACAAAAAGAACAAGAGAUGAUCUUUCCCUUUAAUGGGAUUUCAGUCUGAUCAGGGAGAUAGUAACAGAAAGACUAGACUAGACUAGUGUAUGAUUAAAUGACAUUUGCCAUCCCCAGAAGAGGGAGAGACCUGCAUGGAACAGGGUGGUCAAGGCAGGCUUCCUGGAGGAGGCAAAGACUUAGAUUUAACAGUACCAGAGCUCCAGGAUAGAUCCUCCUCUGACUGAACUCCCUAUUUCUUUCUCCCACCCCAACCUUCCCGGGUCCCCAGCUGAAGGGAUACGUGUGUGUGUGUGUGUACAUGUGCCUGCACACAUGUACACAUGUGGUUAGAAAGGGGGUAUUAGUAUCUCUCUCCUAGGAUGGAGUCUCAAGGACAGGCCCAUCAUCUCCUCAGUUUGCCCCUCUCUCUCCCACUUCACCUAGGGAAUGGAAUAAGAAUGGGAUAAGUAUAACACAAUGAGACGAAUGCAGAACCAACUAGAUGUACACCCAACAAUGUGGAUGAACCUUAAAACAGUGCUGCCUGAAGAAGGCAAGAAACAGAAUGAAAUCUGCAGCACAUCAUUCAUAUAAACUAAAAAUACAUGCACAGAGAAAGGCCACUUUUUUUU
rnacentral:lncRNA from 1 species